rnacentral:snRNA from 1 species
AUGCUCGCUUUGGCAGCACAUAUACUAAAAUUGGAACGAUACAGAGAAGAUUAGCAUGGCCCCUGCACAAGGAUGACAUGCAAAUUCAUGAAGCGUUCCAUAUUUUU